CAUGCAAGUCGAACGAAGCACUUUAUUUGAUUUCCUUCGGGAUUGAUUAUUUUGUGACUGAGUGGCGGACGGGUGAGUAACGCGUGGGUAACCUGCCUUGUACAGGGGGAUAACAGUUGGAAACGGCUGCUAAUACCGCAUAAGCGCACAACAUCGCAUGAUGCAGUGUGAAAAACUCCGGUGGUAUAAGAUGGACCCGCGUUGGAUUAGCUAGUUGGUGAGGUAACGGCCCACCAAGGCGACGAUCCAUAGCCGACCUGAGAGGGUGACCGGCCACAUUGGGACUGAGACACGGCCCAAACUCCUACGGGAGGCAGCAGUGGGGAAUAUUGCACAAUGGGCGAAAGCCUGAUGCAGCGACGCCGCGUGAGCGAAGAAGUAUUUCGGUAUGUAAAGCUCUAUCAGCAGGGAAGAUAAUGACGGUACCUGACUAAGAAGCACCGGCUAAAUACGUGCCAGCAGCCGCGGUAAUACGUAUGGUGCAAGCGUUAUCCGGAUUUACUGGGUGUAAAGGGAGCGCAGGCGGUGCGGCAAGUCUGAUGUGAAAGCCCGGGGCUCAACCCCGGUACUGCAUUGGAAACUGUCGUACUAGAGUGUCGGAGGGGUAAGCGGAA
rnacentral:rRNA from 1 species